rnacentral:rRNA from 1 species
AACGAACGCUGGCGGCAGGCCUAACACACGCAAGUCGAGCGAGGACUUCGGUUCUAGCGGCGGACGGGUGAGUAACGCGUGGGAAUGUGCCCUUCUCUACGGAAUAGCCCUGGGAAACUGGGAGUAAUACCGUAUACGCCCUAUUGGGGAAAGAUUUAUCGGAGAAGGAUCAGCCCGCGUUGGAUUAGGUAGUUGGUGGGGUAAUGGCCUACCAAGCCGACGAUCCAUAGCUGGUUUGAGGGGAUGAUCAGCCACACUGGGACUGAGACACGGCCCAGACUCCUACGGGAGGCAGCAGUGGGGAAUCUUAGACAAUGGGGGCAACCCUGAUCUAGCCAUGCCGCGUGAGUGAUGAAGGCCUUAGGGUUGUAAAGCUCUUUCAGCUGGGAAGAUAAUGACGGUACCAGCAGAAGAAGCCCCGGCUAACUCCGUG